UGAAAAUGUGAUAGUGUUAAAUCAAGUUUGCAAGCGGUAGGACGCGUCGGUGUGUGUCCGUUUUUUCUCUCGUGAAACCAGUACGGAAAAACUAUUUGAAAUCGUAACACACGCACGAACGGAAGUGAGCACGGACCACAACAGAAGCAAUAUUCAAUUGGUUGGAGUGCCGAAAACAGAACAGGAGAGGAAAGAAGGCAGGAACGAUCCGAUCCUCCAACGUGCUAGCGCCUGGUAGAGGAGAAGCGGCAGGAAGGUAGAGACGAACAUCCACCUCGCUAGUGCAGCACGUAGGAGCAGCAAGAGGGAAGCAAGCAGGACGCGUACACACCAUUCGACGAAGGCAAAGCUGGAGGAAAGGAAGAACGAGGAGAGAAGGCAGGUAAGACGGGUACGUGUGUAUCCCGCACCGGUUUUCGGCAGUGUGAAUUGUGUGAGUAUUGAAAAGUGUAUGUGUGAGUAGAGGUAAAGAGGUUAAAUAAAAAGCGAA